rnacentral:rRNA from 1 species
AGUGAACGCUGGCGGUAGGCCUAACACAUGCAAGUCGAACGACAGCACAGUAAGAGCGUGCUCUUACGGGUGGCGAGGGGCGGACGGGUGAGGAAUACAUCGGAAUCUACUUUUUCGUGGGGGAUAACGGAGGGAAAGAUACGCUAAUACCGCAUACUACCUACGGGUGAAAGCAGUGGAUAUUCGUACCUUUCGCGACUGAAUGAGCCGAUGUCGGAUUAGAUCGUUGGGUGGGUAAAGGCCCACCAAGGCGACGAUCCGUAGCGGGGCUGAGAGGAUGACCCGCCCACCUGGAACUGGGACACCGUCCCGACUCCUACGGGAGGCCACAGUGGGGAAUAUUGGCGCAUGGGCGGAAGCCUUGUCCAGCCAUCCCGCGUGGGUGAAGAAGGCCUUCCGGUUCUAAAGCCCUUUUGUUGGGAAAGAAAAGCAGCAGGUUAAUACCCCGCUGUCCUGACGGUACCCAAAGAAUAAGCACCGGCUAACUUCGUG